CCCUACCCGGCUCCCGUUCCCAAGUUCCCGCGAGAACGGGAGGUUUGCGUCAAUAAAAAGCGCGCGUCCAAGAAAAGGGGCUCCGCUGUGGGUUUAAGGGAUGGAGCUUGGAGGUGGAUGAAGAGUAGGGAGCAAGAAGAGGGCUAAAAGAGGGAGUUCCAAAAUUUUAGCUGUUUUUCUCAUAAUGUUCUUUCUCCUUUUCUCUCUUUAGCUCCUCCAUGCAGCCCCCGGUAGAAAGCCCAGUUCCUGCGCUAGUCGAUUUGUGCAUUAGGAAAGGCAGGGAUUUCCUGCGCUGAGGCGGGACAGCUGCCUUUCGGGACCCAGUCCUUGCAUCUUGGGAGAAACUUUUGUGGUGCAUAAAGUUAAGUAUGUUGCUAAAGCUGAGUUAAUGAAAGGAAAAUCUUGGCUACAAUUCCUGUGUUGAAAAAGAAUGUAGGAUCGAUAGUGGUAUUGGUUGCACAACAAUGAAUGGACUUAAUGCUACUGAACUGUGCACUUCAAAAUGGUUAAAAUGGUUUUGUGUCACCCAUUAUGCUGCUAAUAAACAGUGUCACAUUUACAAGAACAGAAAGCCAAACACCGCAUGUUCUCACUCAUAGGUGGGUGUUGAACAAUAAGAACACGUAGACUUGGAGAGGAACAUCACAGACUGGGGGCAGUUGGGGUAGGUAGGGGAGAGACAACAGGGGGUGGGGAGGGAUAACAUGGGGAGAAAUGCCAGAUACAGUAUGCCCCUAAAGUUAAAUAAAUUUUUAAAAAAUAAACAGUUUGUAUCACAUUUAAUGUACAUUAAAAUGUGAUAUGUGUCCUUUUCAAUCUAUGUUGUGCUCAAGGAAUGCAAGAUUUGGAAUCCUGUCUAUCUUCUAAUUGGUUUACAUAAUUUAACUUUAGCAUGGAGUGUUUUUGAAUGUUUGUUAAACCUUUUUAACUGGAGUAUUCUCUUAAUCCAAAGAUCAGGUUAUCUCUUCCUUUCUCAGUUGCACAACAUUGAUUCAGCUAGAGAUUGAGACAGUGGAAGAAAUGAAUAUUGUAAAUUUGAAAAUAGCCUCAUGAAGGAUGUCUCAUAUUUGUCAUUUCUUUAAUUUACUAAACAUUAAUUUACUAAAAAAAAAAAGCUUGCUUUUUCCUUACUAGGUUUUAUGACUUUAAAAAUAUUCCUGUUAUAAGUAUGGUCAUUAUUUGAAAAUUAUAAAUGAGAUAUAGUCAAAGUUAUUCCACAACUUUUUUCAACAAUGUGAUUAUUUUUAGCAUUUCAUACAGGUAAUUCUGAAUUCUUUUGGAAUUAGAGUAUUCUGUAAUAUAUAAAGUAUGAUAAGUAUUAAUAAAGUAUUAAACCUCCUUCUAGGGCAUUCACUCUUAUCUCCAGGCAAAGUAUAGAUUUUAUCAUUUGCAGAUACUUGGGUGAGUGCCCACAGUACUCAAGGAUAAGUUUUUUUGGAGGUUAUAUUACUUUAACCACAAAUAGAAGAUUAAGCAGACCCAUAAUAGGACACAGCUAUUAAAUCAUGAAAUAGACCAGGUGUGGUGGCUCACACCUGUAAUCCCAGUCCAUUAUAGGACUUCCUUUAUGGGUUAGUAACAGCUACAAACCAGAAGGGCAAAUGUAUUACUUCAUAACACAGUGUUGUAAUAUUUCAUGAUUUUGAUUGUUUGUUUAUUUUGAGACAGAGCCUCUUUCUUUCGCCAGGCUGGAGUGCAGUGACACCAUCUCGGCUCACUGAAAUCUCCACCUUCCAGGUUCAAGUGAUUCUCCUGCCUCAGCAUCCAUAGUAGCUGGGAUUACAGGUGUGCACUACCACACCCAGCUAAUUUUUGUGUGUUUUUUUUUUUUUUUGUAGAGACAGGGUUUCACCACGUUAGCCAGGUUGGUCAUGAUCUCCUGACUUUGUGAUCCACUCACUUUGACCUCCAAAACUGCUGGGAUUACAGGUGUGAGCCACCACGCCUGGUCUAUUUCAUGAUUUAAUAGCUGUGUGGCCUUUCUGGACAAAC
ensembl:lncRNA